UUUUUUUUUUUUUUUUUUUUUUUUUUUCCACAACGAUGCAUUACAUUCAAACAUG
rnacentral:ribozyme from 13 species